GCUGGGUGGGUUUAAAAAGACUGACAAAAUGUAGCUUGGAUUGUGAAGGGGGACAAAUCUAGUAAUAUAGUCAAACAGAGUGGGAGAGUGAGAAAGGGGGGAGAGAGAGAGAGUGAGCAGUCGAAACAGUGAACGGUGGGGAAUCUUGGGCAAAGGAGGUAAGACAGGAUAUGAAAACAAUGGACUCAUUGUAGAGAGAUGAUAGAAGGAUGAGAAGGAGAUCGGUGGAACACAGCACCAUCUACAGGCUGAUAGAGCACACCAUAAGAUGAUCGCAUGAAGACGACCAGAAGUGGUUGCAACACGAGAAAGAGUGACUCACUUUGAAACCCUCUUUGACGUGUUUCCACAUAAAAGGCUUCGACAAACAAGAGAGAGGUGACCGUUUUGUAGCCCCACCACCUUUCCUGUGCCAAAAAUGCCAACUGUAACAACAAAGAGUGGCAGAUGCCAAGGGAAUCCCAGACGAAUGACCUCCGUGAAGCCGGCCUACCAAAGAGAAGCAAAUAUUUACCCUGCGUGUUUGAACCCAUGGCACAGUGCCACGGCUGCCCCUCAGAGUGCAUACCGGCCCGAUAGGCUUACUCGUCCUCUAACUUUACUCCCUGGGUACUCCCCUAUAUGACGCCAGAAAAAUCUUCUCAGUUUUCAACCAUCAUAUCAUAGAGUGGGUCAUGACAGAAAGGGUCCAGCACAUCCCAGAGCUCAGCCGCCCUGAGACCAAAGUCUCCUUACGGGACACUAACUUCAAAGUCCAUUUUGGAAGGACUGAUCUGAAGAAGACGAACCGGUCUCUGAUAACCAACAGAGCAGUCGGGAUCAGUGGAGAAGCCACCAAAUGAGAU